rnacentral:rRNA from 1 species
UACAGAGGUCUCAAGCGUUGUUCGGAUUCAUUGGGCGUAAAGGGUGCGUAGGCGGACUCUUAAGUCGGUGGUGAAAUCCUGGAGCUCAACUCCAGAACUGCCUUCGAUACUGGGAGUCUCGAGUCCGGGAGAGGUGAGUGGAACUGCGAGUGUAGAGGUGAAAUUCGUAGAUAUUCGCAAGAACACCAGUGGCGAAGGCGGCUCACUGGCCCGGUACUGACGCUGAGGUGCGAAAGCGUGGGGAGCAAACAGG